AGGGAAUCUUCCACAAUGGACGAAAGUCUGAUGGAGCAACGCCGCGUGAGUGAUGAAGGGUUUCGGCUCGUAAAACUCUGUUGUUGGAGAAGAACAGGCGUGAGAGUAACUGUUCACAUCUUGACGGUAUCCAACCAGAAAGCCACGGCUAACUACGUGCCAGCAGCCGCGGUAAUACGUAGGUGGCAAGCGUUGUCCGGAUUUAUUGGGCGUAAAGCGAGCGCAGGCGGUUUCCUUAGGUCUGAUGUGAAAGCCUUCGGCUUAACCGGAGAAGUGCAUCGGGAAACCAGGAGACUUGA
rnacentral:rRNA from 1 species